rnacentral:rRNA from 1 species
GAUCCUGGCUUAGGAUGAACGCUAGCGACAGGCUUAACACAUGCAAGUCGAGGGGCAGCAUAAAAGUAGCAAUACUUGGUGGCGACCGGCGCACGGGUGAGUAACGCGUAUGCAACCUACCUAUCAGAGGGGAAUAACCCGGCGAAAGUCGGACUAAUACCGCAUAAAACAGGGGCACCGCAUGGUGAUAUUUGUUAAAGAAAUUCGCUGAUAGAUGGGCAUGCGUUCCAUUAGGUAGUUGGUGAGGUAACGGCUCACCAAGCCGACGAUGGAUAGGGGAACUGAGAGGUUGGUCCCCCACACUGGUACUGAGACACGGACCAGACUCCUACGGGAGGCAGCAGUGAGGAAUAUUGGUCAAUGGGCGGGAGCCUGAACCAGCCAAGUCGCGUGGAAAAGGGAAGAAGGAUCUAUGGUUCGUAAACUUCUUUUGCAGGGGAAUAAAGUGCAGGACGUGUCCUGUUUUGUAUGUACCCUGAGAAUAAGGAUCGGCUAACUCCGUGCCAGCAGCAGC